UACGUAGGGUGCGAGCGUUGUCCGGAAUUACUGGGCGUAAAGAGCUCGUAGGCGGCUUGUCGCGUUGUUCGUGAAAAUUUACCGCUCAACGGUGAACUUGCGGGCGAUACGGGCAGGCUAGAGUACUGCAGGGGAGACUGGAAUUCCUGGUGUAGCGGUGAAAUGCGCAGAUAUCAGGAGGAACACCGGUGGCGAAGGCGGGUCUCUGGGCAGUAACUGACGCUGAGGAGCGAAAGCGUGGGUAGCAAACAGG
rnacentral:rRNA from 1 species